GACGAACGCUGGCGGCGUGCCUAAUACAUGCAAGUCGAGCGAGACUCUUCGGAGUCUAGCGGCGGACGGGUGAGUAACACGUGGGCAACCUGCCUGUAAGACUGGGAUAACACCGGGAAACCGGUGCUAAUACCGGAUAAUCCUUUUCCUCUCAUGAGGAAAAGCUGAAAGUCGGUUUCGGCUGACACUUACAGAUGGGCCCGCGGCGCAUUAGCUAGUUGGUGAGGUAACGGCUCACCAAGGCGACGGUGCGUAGCCGACCUGAGAGGGUGAUCGGCCACACUGGGACUGAGACACGGCCCAGACUCCUACGGGAGGCAGCAGUAGGGAAUCUUCCACAAUGGACGGAAGUCUGAUGGAGCAACGCCGCGCGAGCGAUGAAGGCCUUCGGGUCGUAAAGCUCUGUUGUUAGGGAAGAACAAGUACCGGAGUAACUGCCGGUACCUUGACGGUACCUAACCAGAAAGCCACGGCUAACUACGUGCCAGCCGCCGCAGUAA
rnacentral:rRNA from 1 species